ACAUCAUUAUUUGGUAUAUGGUGCUAUAUAUGCUCAAAUGUGUCUCACAGUUGCAUACAAUUCUUUUCUUAUCUUGUGUAGAAGAUCCUCGUGAACACAUGGGGAUGAAAUAAAUUGGUCUCAGAGGAGGUUUCAAUGCGUUCAAUUGCGUGGAUAAACCUGUCGUUGGAUGAGUUUCAUCUUGAUAAAGAAUGAGACUAGCCUAAAACAAAGCAUGGGGAUUGAUGAAAUGUAACAUUUAAAAGUUCCAAAAUGAUCUAAUCCAUAAAGUAGAUAUUGAUUCCUUCCAAAUGAAAGCAUCUAAAUGCCCCUUAACCGUCAAGCAAAAUUGUCUUGUAGGAGGCAAGGGAAUUUAAAAACCAUGCACUUUCGAUUGACAUUUUGUGCACUUAUAUUCCCCGUCGUUGUCGUCUAGGUUGUAGAUUUUCAAAGAAUUCCUCGUCAACUCAUCAUCAUGUUGCCAGCCCUCGGUUUUGUGGUGGAAAAAUGGAACCGCAUGGAGCGGCUACGUACGCAUGACGUGGGCCUCUCAUGUGAUGGCUGGUUGGCCCUUUUGUUUAUUCCCAUGCGUCCAAUAUCUAGCUCCAAUCAGAAUAUCGUAUCCAGAAAACAUCAAACUAUUUAGACAAAAGUAACAUAAGAAGCUGCCUUUUUUUUUUCUAAAAAAACAUAAGAAGCUGCUAAUUUAACUAAUUAAAAAAUUGGACAUGCAUGUGUGUGUGCAUGAUAACUGCGAAUUAGAUGGAUUCUUUUUUGUGUGUG
rnacentral:lncRNA from 1 species